GGCCAUUACAAGGUUCCCCCCGUUGUUUGUUUUCUGUUGGUUGCUGUGUAUUCAAGUUCAAUGGCGUUUUAGUAAGCAGAAAGCAUAGGUAAGCACGUUUUUAUAGUUAUUUUAGCACGAUUAAAUUUCCAACAUUAAUUUUAUUUUAUAACAUGUGCAAAUAUCAAUGUUUGUUAUCUACUUUUUAAUAAACUGCGAGUUUUUUUUAGACUUGUUUCGUAUCGAAUUUUUUCCGUUUUCAGCUUUGAAAAAGCAACUAAAAUAAAAUGAAAAGAAAACCUUAAAAAAAAAGUACCAAAUAGAAAAAAAGUAUAAAAAAAUGAUACCCUCUUAUUUGGUAGGUAGAAUUCUAGUUUUCUUCGAAAAUCGUUUCACUAGUGUUUAAUAGAAGAAAGAAAUAGUUAGAAAGAAAGCUGGAUUGUAAAAGCGGUCCAGUUUAGAUACACUACCCACUAUUUGCUUUAUUUUAUUUUACAAGAAAACGGCAG
rnacentral:lncRNA from 1 species